CUAUUCAGCCUUGCUCCUCUGAAUGAAUCCUAUCUUGCCUGAUCUUAGAAUCUAAACAUGGCUAAGCUUGGUUCAGACCUGGGUGGAAGACUACCUUGGAAUACCAAAUGUCUGAGAAGA
rnacentral:rRNA from 11 species